CCAACCCGAAUAAAGAGUAACUCCAGUUGUUAUGGAAACGCGUUGUUUCUGAUUUAGGGUUCAACACGUUCUUCAUCUCUCCCAUUCGAGAGCUAAUCUCGACCUAAGGUUUCCAUGGCGUUGUUUCAUCUUCUUCCUAACAAUCCGAUGAGCUAUCAGUUACAGAUUCAUCCUCUUAAAUCGACCACCCACGAUCUACCUGUUCUUUCAUCUUCUUCCUAACAAUCCGAAAAGCUAUACAGAUUCAUCCUCUUAAAUCCACCAUCCACGAUCCACCUUGAAUGCGAUCUUCACGCAAGGCCGUGGAACCUCGACUAUAAAAAGACCGGACGCGUACGGCACAGUAGGAGGAGGAAAGCGGUAGCGACGGAGGAGAGGAGGAUCAAGGCAAUGAGGGGCCAGCCGUGUCCGGUUUGAAUCCGGUUGUUAUUUGUUCAUUGUCUUCCCAUUUACAAGCGACUGGGUUCUAUGUUUUACUUAAAACUCUCGGGUUCACUUAAAACUUCAUUAUAUUCAGCUCCAUGUGCCUGUCAAGUUCUCUCUUUUGUUUAAGGCGGACCCCGCCGAAGGUGCAGAGAUGUAUAAGGUCAUCAAAGAGACUACUAAUCACCGCAGGGUGAAGUUCACAGAUUUAUAAUGUGGUCUGGUACGCUCUGUAGAAUUGUGUUGUCUCAGCUGUAGUUUAGCUGCUUGGUGGAGCUUCUUUGGGUGUGAUAAAGCUGUGAGAUCUAGAAGAAACAAAGAGUUAGUUGAUAAAUUUUGUGCGCUCCUUUUGAAGAGUUGUUGCUCCUUAUUGUCAAAUGUGGAUUAUGGUGCGUUGGUUAAAGCUUUUGUUGUAAGCUUGCAAACCGCUAUUGCAACUAAACUAUAGAGGAUAUAAAAUAUGGCCAGGACGAGCAACAAAAUGUUAAGUUGGUGCAAUCCUUUCAAAGUUAAAAGUGGCUCAUAUCCAUUUAGACACGGUAACAUGGAGAGAGUAGCUUUUGAAGGAACACGGAUCAUGAUAACAGAAUUCAUGGUAACGUGAAUUUGUUGCACGAGAUCUCUAGGAGACUUUCAGCUAAGGCGAAAUUAAGCUCUUUAUAAGUUAUCUUCUUCUUGACAUGUUGCGUGAAUUAGACUCUUCAAUCAGUUCAAAUUUUCUUGAAUGCUUAAACCUCAAAGCAAAGCUCAAUAUAUACACCAUAGCCAAGAUAAGUCGCAAAUCAAUGCAAGGAGUGACUGGAGUCUAGGGAAUGCACAAUCAUGUGCUAUGUAGAGCUGUUCUAUCAACAAGAGACAAUGACCAUCAG